UUAAGCGACUAAGCGUACACGGUGGAUGCCCUGGCAGUCAGAGGCGAUGAAGGACGUGCUAAUCUGCGAAAAGCGUCGGUAAGGUGAUAUGAACCGUUACAGCCGGCGAUGUCCGAAUGGGGAAACCCAGUGUGAUUCGUCACACUAUCGUUAACUGAAUACAUAGGUUAACGAGGCGAACCGGGGGAACUGAAACAUCUAAGUACCCCGAGGAAAAGAAAUCAACCGAGAUUCCCCCAGUAGCGGCGAGCGAACGGGGAGCAGCCCAGAGUCUGAAUCAGCUUGUGUGUUAGUGGAACGGUCUGGAAAGUCCGACGGUACAGGGUGAUAGUCCCGUACACCAAAAUGCACAGGCUGUGAACUCGAAGAGUAGGGCGGGACACGUGGUAUCCUGUCUGAAUAUGGGGGGACCAUCCUCCAAGGCUAAAUACUCCUGACUGACCGAUAGUGAACCAGUACCGUGAGGGAAAGGCGAAAAGAACCCCGGCGAGGGGAGUGAAAAAGAACCUGAAACCGUGUACGUACAAGCAGUGGGAGCACCUUUAUGGUGUGACUGCGUACCUUUUGUAUAAUGGGUCAGCGACUUAUAUUCUGUAGCAAGGUUAACCGUAUAGGGGAGCCGCAGGGAAACCGAGUCUUAACUGGGCGUUAAGUUGCAGGGUAUAGACCCGAAACCCGGUGAUCUAGCCAUGGGCAGGUUGAAGGUUGGGUAACACUAACUGGAGGACCGAACCGACUAAUGUUGAAAAAUUAGCGGAUGACUUGUGGCUGGGGGUGAAAGGCCAAUCAAACCGGGAGAUAGCUGGUUCUCCCCGAAAGCUAUUUAGGUAGCGCCUCGUGAACUCAUCUUCGGGGGUAGAGCACUGUUUCGGCUAGGGGGUCAUCCCGACUUACCAACCCGAUGCAAACUACGAAUACCGAAGAAUGUUAUCACGGGAGACACACGGCGGGUGCUAACGUCCGUCGUGAAGAGGGAAACAACCCAGACCGCCAGCUAAGGUCCCAAAGUCAUGGUUAAGUGGGAAACGAUGUGGGAAGGCACAGACAGCCAGGAUGUUGGCUUAGAAGCAGCCAUCAUUUAAAGAAAGCGUAAUAGCUCACUGGUCGAGUCGGCCUGCGCGGAAGAUGUAACGGGGCUAAACCAUGCACCGAAGCUGCGGCAGCGACACUAUGUGUUGUUGGGUAGGGGAGCGUUCUGUAAGCCUGCGAAGGUGACCUGUGAGGGUUGCUGGAGGUAUCAGAAGUGCGAAUGCUGACAUAAGUAACGAUAAAGCGGGUGAAAAGCCCGCUCGCCGGAAGACCAAGGGUUCCUGUCCAACGUUAAUCGGGGCAGGGUGAGUCGACCCCUAAGGCGAGGCCGAAAGGCGUAGUCGAUGGGAAACAGGUUAAUAUUCCUGUACUUGGUGUUACUGCGAAGGGGGGACGGAGAAGGCUAUGUUAGCCGGGCGACGGUUGUCCCGGUUUAAGCAUGUAGGCUGAUUAUCCAGGCAAAUCCGGAUAAUCAAGGCUGAGGUGUGAUGACGAGGCACUACGGUGCUGAAGUAACAAAUGCCCUGCUUCCAGGAAAAGCCUCUAAGCAUCAGGUAACAUCAAAUCGUACCCCAAACCGACACAGGUGGUCAGGUAGAGAAUACCAAGGCGCUUGAGAGAACUCGGGUGAAGGAACUAGGCAAAAUGGUGCCGUAACUUCGGGAGAAGGCACGCUGGUGUGUAGGUGAAGUCCCUGCGGAUGGAGCUGAGACCAGUCGAAGAUACCAGCUGGCUGCAACUGUUUAUUAAAAACACAGCACUGUGCAAACACGAAAGUGGACGUAUACGGUGUGACGCCUGCCCGGUGCCGGAAGGUUAAUUGAUGGGGUUAUCCGUAAGGAGAAGCUCUUGAUCGAAGCCCCGGUAAACGGCGGCCGUAACUAUAACGGUCCUAAGGUAGCGAAAUUCCUUGUCGGGUAAGUUCCGACCUGCACGAAUGGCGUAAUGAUGGCCAGGCUGUCUCCACCCGAGACUCAGUGAAAUUGAACUCGCUGUGAAGAUGCAGUGUACCCGCGGCAAGACGGAAAGACCCCGUGAACCUUUACUAUAGCUUGACACUGAACAUUGAGCCUUGAUGUGUAGGAUAGGUGGGAGGCUUUGAAGCGUGGACGCCAGUCUGCGUGGAGCCAACCUUGAAAUACCACCCUUUAAUGUUUGAUGUUCUAACGUUGGCCCCUGACCGGGGUUGCGGACAGUGUCUGGUGGGUAGUUUGACUGGGGCGGUCUCCUCCCAAAGCGUAACGGAGGAGCACGAAGGUUAGCUAAUCCUGGUCGGACAUCAGGAGGUUAGUGCAAUGGCAUAAGCUAGCUUGACUGCGAGCGUGACGGCGCGAGCAGGUGCGAAAGCAGGUCAUAGUGAUCCGGUGGUUCUGAAUGGAAGGGCCAUCGCUCAACGGAUAAAAGGUACUCCGGGGAUAACAGGCUGAUACCGCCCAAGAGUUCAUAUCGACGGCGGUGUUUGGCACCUCGAUGUCGGCUCAUCACAUCCUGGGGCUGAAGUAGGUCCCAAGGGUAUGGCUGUUCGCCAUUUAAAGUGGUACGCGAGCUGGGUUUAGAACGUCGUGAGACAGUUCGGUCCCUAUCUGCCGUGGGCGCUGGAGAAUUGAGGGGGGCUGCUCCUAGUACGAGAGGACCGGAGUGGACGCAUCACUGGUGUUCGGGUUGUCAUGCCAAUGGCACUGCCCGGUAGCUAAAUGCGGAAGAGAUAAGUGCUGAAAGCAUCUAAGCACGAAACUUGCCCCGAGAUGAGUUCUCCCUGAGACUUUAAGUCUCCUGAAGGAACGUUGAAGACGACGACGUUGAUAGGCCGGGUGUGUAAGCGCAGCGAUGCGUUGAGCUAACCGGUACUAAUGAACCGUGAGGCUUAACCUU
rnacentral:rRNA from 1 species